CAACCAUAUGACGUUGAAACACCAAUUCCUGCACGAUUACCGAAGGUAAGCAACGUCGAGCCUGAUCUAUACUUAGAUGGGUGACUGCUUGGGAAUACCAGGCGUUGUG